CCGGAAUAGCUCAGUUGGUAGAGCAAAGGACUGAAAAUC
rnacentral:tRNA from 1 species